GAUGAACGCUGGCGGCGUGCUUAACACAUGCAAGUCGAACGGACUAAGUGGAGCCUAGCUCCAUGAAGUUAGUGGCGGACGGGUGAGUAACGCGUGGGUAACCUGCCCUAUGCAGGGGGAUAACGUUUGGAAACGAACGCUAAUACCGCAUAACCUAGUUGGUUCGCAUGAACUAACUAGCAAAGAUUUUAUCGGCAUAGGAUGGACCCGCGUUGGAUUAGCUAGUUGGUGAGAUAAAAGCUCACCAAGGCGACGAUCCAUAGCCGGCCUGAGAGGGUGAACGGCCACACUGGGACUGAGACACGGCCCAGACUCCUACGGGAGGCAGCAGUGGGGAAUAUUGCACAAUGGGCGCAAGCCUGAUGCAGCGACGCCGCGUGAAGGAUGAAGGUCUUCGGAUCGUAAAACUCUGUUGUCAGAGAAGAACGUGUGCGAGAGUAACUGCUCGUGCAGUGACGGUAUCUGGCCAGAAAGCCACGGCUAACUAC
rnacentral:rRNA from 1 species